GUUAAAAAAAUUAUUUUUAAUUUGAUUUUUAAAUUUUUGUCUAAAGAUUUAUUUUUUGUAUUAUUUUUAUAGAAAUAAUAUUUUUUAUUAAAGUUGAUAGUACUGUGAAGGAAUUUUUUUAAACAUAAAAAAGAAAGUUUAUUGCUGUACCUUGUGUAUCAGGGUUAAUUUAUUUAAUAUUUUAUAUAAAGUUUUCCCGAAUUUAAAAGAGUUAUGUUGAAAUUUAUUUUAAUGUGAAAUAAUUAUUUAAAAUUUCAAUAUAGAAAUGAAACGUUAUUCGUUUUUAAAUAUAUCUGGUUUUCUAAGAAAUGAAUUUAAUUCAGCUUUCUUUAAUAUAAAAAUUAAUUUUUAUUUUUAUUUUUGGGAAAUUUAAUAUUCAAGGGGAUAAGCUUUUGAAUAAAUUCUUAUAAAUUUUUUAUUUUGAAAAAUAUAUAGGAUUAGAAUUUUCCAUUAUUUAAAGGAUGUUAUAAUUUAAUUUUUUUUAUUAAUAUUUUUAUUUUUUUUAAUUAUUUAUUAGGAAGUUAAUAUGAAUGGUUAAUAUUAAGCUAUAAUGAUUGAAUUAGUAUAUUUUUAUUUAAUAUUAUUUUUUAUGUUUUAGUUGUUAGUAAGGAACUCGGCAACAAUAUUUUUCACCUGUUUAUUAAAAACAUGUCCUUUAGAAUAUAAUUUAAGGUCUGACCUGCCCAAUGAUUUUUGAAUGGCCGCAGUAUUUUGACUGUGCAAAGGUAGCAUAAUCAUUAGUUUUUUAAAUGGAAGCUGGUAUGAAUGGUUUGAUGAAAAAAUAUCUGUCUCAUUAACAAUUUAAUUGAACUUUAUUUUUGAGUUAAAAAGCUUAAAUUUUUUAAAAAGACGAGAAGACCCUAUAGAGUUUUAUUUAUUUAAAUUUAAAUAUUUUUUGGAUUUUUAUAUUAUUUAUUUUUAGAUAUUUUUUAUUGGGGUGAUAUAAAAAUUUAACUAACUUUUUAUUUAUUUUUACAUUAAUAUAUGAAUUUUUGAUCCUAAAUUUUAGAUUAUAAGAAUAAAUUACCUUAGGGAUAACAGCGUAAUUUUCUUAGAGAGUUCUAAUCGAAAAGAGAGUUUGCGACCUCGAUGUUGGAUUAAAAUUAAAUUUGGGUGUAGAAGCUUAAAUUUUUGGUCUGUUCGACCAUUGAAAUUUUACAUGAUCUGAGUUUAGACCGGCGUGAGCCAGGUUGGUUUCUAUCUUUUAAUUUUUAUAGUAUUUUAGUACGAAAGGACCAAAUACUAGAAUUAUAUUUUUAUUUUGAAUUUUAUU
rnacentral:rRNA from 1 species